rnacentral:rRNA from 1 species
UACAGAGGGGGCAAGCGUUGUUCGGAACUACUGGGCGUAAAGGGCGCGUAGGCGGCCUGCUAAGUCGAACGUGAAAUCCCUGGGCUCAACCCAGGAACUGCGUCCGAUACUGGUUGGCUUGAAUCCGGGAGAGGGAUGUGGAAUUCCAGGUGUAGCGGUGAAAUGCGUAGAUAUCUGGAGGAACACCGGUGGCGAAGGCGACAUCCUGGACCGGUAUUGACGCUGAGGCGCGAAAGCCAGGGGAGCAAACGGG